UAUUAAAUGAUAAAAUAAAAU
rnacentral:piRNA from 1 species